AUUGAACGCCGGCGGCAGGCUAAACAUAUGCAAGUCGAACGAGUGGCGGACGGGCGAGUAAUGCCCGGGACACUGCUCGAUGGGGGGGGAUAACUACAGCAAACGGUAGCUAAUACCGCAUACUACCGCAUGUGCCCAGAUGGGAUUAGCUAGUAGUUGGGGUAACGGCGCACCUAGGCGAUGAUCCAUAGCUGGUCUGAGAGGAUGACCAACCACCCUGGAACUGAGACACGGUCCAGACUCCUACGGGAGGCAGCCGUGGGGAAUAUUCCUCAAUGGGCGCAAGCCUGAUGCAGCCAUGCCGCGUGUAUUAGAGAGGCCUUCGGGUUGUAAAGUACUUUCAGCGAGGAGGCGUUACUCGCAGAAGAAGCACCGACUAAGUCCGUGCCAGCAGCCGCGGUAAUUC
rnacentral:rRNA from 1 species